rnacentral:misc_RNA from 1 species
GAACCUGGCUCGAUCAUGACCUCAAGUAAACGUUCUACCACAAAGUCAAUGGCUUGAAGCUGAACUAUGACAACUAGCCUGCAAUGGAGUUUAUUGUAGAGAAAAAUAUUUUUCAAAAUAUAUUAAUUAAAAAAAUUAUUAAGUUCAAUAUAUUUUACAACGUCUUUUACAAAAUCUUAACAAUCAUAGAUUCAUAGACAGUGCAGGAGAAGAAAAUCUAAAAACAGGAAAAAUUAGUAGAAAAAGAUUGUAAUUAAAGGAAAAAAAAAGCUUGUAAAAAGAAGGAAAAAAAAAUCCCAAAUAAUGGAGGAGAGCCAUUGGAUAUUGCAGGUGAGAGAGAGAGAGAGAGAGA